rnacentral:rRNA from 1 species
AGUUUGAUCCUGGCUCAGAUUGAACGCUGGCGGUAACUUUUAAACAUGCAAGUCGAGCGGUAACAGACAUAAAGAUUCAGCUUGCUGAAUCCGGUGCUGACGAGCGGCGAACGGGUGAGUAACGCGUAGGAAUCUACCCAGUAGCGGGGGAUAGCCCGAGGAAACUCGGAUUAAUACCGCAUACGCCCUGAGGGGGAAAGGGGGCAGUUUACUGCUCUCACUAUUGGAUGAGCCUGCGUAAGAUUAGCUUGUUGGUGGGGUAAUGGCCUACCAAGGCGACGAUCUUUAGCUGGUCUGAGAGGACGAUCAGCCACAUUGGGACUGAGACACGGCCCAGACAUCUACGGAUGGCAGCAGUUAAGAAUAUUGGACAAUGGGGGCAACCCUGAUCCAGGUAUACCGCGUGUGUGAAGAAGGCCCUAGGGUUGUAAAGCACUUUAAUCAGAGAAGAAGCACGUUAAGUUAAUACCUUAAUCUGUUGACGUUACCUGAAGAAUAAGGACCGGCUAACUCCGUGCCA